GACGAACGCUGGCGGCGUGCUUAACACAUGCAAGUCGAACGGACAGGCCCUGCUUUUGUGGGGUGCUCGAGUGGCGAACGGGUGAGUAACACGUGAGUAGCCUGUCCUUGACUUUGGGAUAACUUCAGGAAACUGGGGCUCAUAUCGGAUAGGAGCUCCUGCUGCAUGGGGGGGGUUGGUAAGUUUCGGCGGUUGGGGAUGGACUCGCGGCUUAUCAGCUUGUUGGUGGGGUAGUGGCUUACCAAGGCUUUGACGGGUAGCCGGCCUGAGAGGGUGACCGGCGACAUUGGGACUGAGAUACGGCCCAGACUCCUACGGGAGGCAGCAGUGGGGAAUAUUGCGCAAUGGGCGGAAGCCUGAUGCAGCAACGCCGCGUGCGGGAUGACGGCCUUCGGGUUGUAAACCGCUUUCGCCUGUGACGAAGCGUGAGUGACGGUAAUGGGUAAAGAAGCACCGGCUAACUACGUG
rnacentral:rRNA from 1 species